rnacentral:rRNA from 1 species
UACGUAGAGAGCAAGCGUUGUCCGGAAUCAUUGGGCGUAAAGGGUACGCAGGCGGUCUAUUAAGUCAGAGGUGAAAUCCAACAGCUCAACUGUUGAACUGCCUUUGAUACUGGUAGACUUGAGUACAGAAGAGGAGAGUGGAAUUCCAUGUGUAGCGGUGAAAUGCGUAGAUAUAUGGAGGAACACCAGUGGCGAAGGCGACUCUCUGGUCUGUAACUGACGCUGAGGCGCGAAAGCGUGGGGAGCAAACAGG